rnacentral:rRNA from 1 species
GACGAACGCUGGCGGCGUGCUUAACACAUGCAAGUCGAACGGUAAGGCCCUUCGGGGUACACGAGUGGCGAACGGGUGAGUAACACGUGGGUGAUCUGCCCUGCACUUCGGGAUAAGCCUGGGAAACUGGGUCUAAUACCGGAUACGACCUGGUGCCGCAUGGUGCCGGGUGGAAAGUUUUUCGGCCAGGGGUGGGCCCGCGGCCUAUCAGCUUGUUGGUGGGGGGAUGGCCUACCAAGGCGUCGACGGGUAGCCGGCCUGAGAGGGCUACCGGCCACAGAGGGACUGAGACACGGCCGAGACUCCGGCGGGAGGCAGCAGUGGGGAAUAUUGCGCAAGGGGCGCAAGCCUGACGCAGCGACGCCGCGUGGGGGAUGACGGCCUUCGGGUUGUAAACCCCUUUCAGCAUCGACCAAGGCUCUGUUUUUGCAGGGUUGAGUGUAGGUGCAGAAGAAGCACCGGCUAACUACGUGCCAGCCGCCGCCGUAA